ensembl:lncRNA
GCUGUGUCACAGAUAGGAGGUUUUAAGAAUAUAACACAAAAGUAAGACAAAUCUCAAAGGUUUAUUGUAUAAAUAACGUACCACUUGGCAAAGACUGUGUACCAGUUUGACCCGCUGUGCCAGUGUUUUGAAAGAUUAUUUAGCAGGAUUGGCACUGUUUUCAAAGCAAGGGAAGGUGUAACUAAGGGUUAAGGAAGAAAUGACAUGUUACUAAUAUUUACAUAUGAUAUAAAUGGGCUGGUUCACUCAACUUCAGGAGGCUGUGAAGAGAGAAAAGCAGCAUAACAAGAAUUACUUUCUCAAGCAAGACUUCCUCAGUCUUUUGAGUCGCGUGAAGUGCUGUUUAACACACUGAAUAUUUCAGAAGAAUUCAAGUUUUUACAGACGACCUGACUGAAAGCUCUGUUCACCAGAUGUAGGCAGCAGAUGAUUCAUCCAAUUUCUCAUCAUCCAAUAAAUCAGUCCCAAACAUUAAAGAUCAGUGAGCCCACACACCUUUUGAGGGUGGCAGGACAAGCUCUUGUAUGUGCUACUGACAGGAAAGUGAAAGUAGAGUCUAGUUGGGAAGGGAGACAACAACACACAUACACACGGCAUACACGGAAGGAGCACACACUUCUUAUUUCUCUUACAUGCUUAUAAGAGCUGGCGACAACGAAAGCUGCAGCUUCGCCUCACUAUGGCGCUGUGGAUGCAGAUUUCCCAGAAGCUCCCUUAUUUUACCAAUGAGACCCUGGUGGAGCUCUACCCCACAGAUACUUUCCCCAUAGACGUCAGGCACUACCUGGCGAGCUGGAUCGAGGAG